UACGUAGGGGGCAAGCGUUGUCCGGAUUUAUUGGGCGUAAAGAGCGUGUAGGCGGCCAGACAGGUCCGUUGUGAAAACUCGAGGCUCAACCUCGAGACGCCGAUGGAAACCGUCUGGCUAGAGUCCGGAAGAGGAGAGUGGAAUUCCCGGUGUAGUGGUGAAAUGCGUAGAGAUCGGGAGGAACACCUGUGGCGAAGGCGGCUCGCUGGGCCGGUCCUGACGCUGAGACGCGAAGGCGUGGGGAGCGAACGGG
rnacentral:rRNA from 1 species